rnacentral:rRNA from 1 species
AUGAACAUUCCUAUAAUAUAAUGUUAAUGCCAUAGAUCCCAUGAGAACUUCAUAGUUAAGCAUGCUCGAGAUAGAGUGGUACUAUGAAGGGUGAUCACUCGGGAAGUCCUAGUGUUUUACAUG